UAGGGAGUAUUCGGCAAUGGGGGAAACCCUGACCGAGCAACGCCGCGUGAACGAUGAAGGUCUUCGGAUCGUAAAGUUCUGUGAUAGGGGAUGAACGGCACAGGCAGGAAAUGGCUUGUGUUUGACAGUACUCUAUUAGAAAGCUACGGCUAACUACGUGCCAGCANCCGCGGUAAUACGUAGGUAGCAAGCGUUAUCCGGAAUUAUUGGGCGUAAAGAGUGAGCAGGCGGUCUGCUAAGUUUGAAGUUAAAUCCUGAGGCUCAACCUCAGUUCGCUUCGAAAACUGACAGACUAGAGUAUGGGAGAGGUAAACGGAACUCCGAAUGUAGCGGUGACAUGCACAGAUAUUCGGAAGAACACCAGUGGCGAAGACGGUUUCACCAGCCCAAGACUCACGCUCAGUCACGAAAGCGUGGGUAGCANAUAGGCUUAGAUACCCUAGUAGUCCACGCUGUAAACGAUGAGGACCAGAUGCCGGAUUAGAUUUCGGUGUCAAAGCUAACGCAUUAAGUCCUCCGCCUGGG
rnacentral:rRNA from 1 species